rnacentral:SRP_RNA from 1 species
GCAGCUGGGGAGUUAGCGGUGCCCUGAACCUGCAAUCCGCUAUAGCAGGGGUGAUGUUCGGUCUAGGGUUCGCAAUUACAGAGCUGCCCUUUGAACGUGGCGUUGAUGUUUGGGUCUUACGCAACAGGAAUUUGUGAACCGUGUCAGGUCAGGAAUGAAGCAGCACUAAGCAAAACCUCCUGUGUGCCGUGAGGGUGCCUGGGCUGAGCUGCCGACAGAGGUAACGUCUGUGAGUGGGGAUUCG